GACGAACGCUGGCGGCGUGCUUAACACAUGCAAGUCGAACGGAAAGGCCCUGCUUUUGUGGGGUGCUCGAGUGGCGAACGGGUGAGUAACACGUGAGUAACCUGCCCUUGACUUUGGGAUAACUUCAGGAAACUGGGGCUAAUACCGGAUAGGAGCUCCUGCUGCAUGGGGGGGGUUGGAAAGUUUCGGCGGUUGGGGAUGGACUCGCGGCUUAUCAGCUUGUUGGUGGGGUAGUGGCUUACCAAGGUUUUGACGGGUAGCCGGCCUGAGAGGGUGAGCGGCCACAUUGGGACUGAGAUACGGCCCAGACGCCUACGGGAGGCAGCAGUGGGGAAUAUUGCACAAUGGGCGGAAGCCUGAUGCAGCAACUCCGCGUGCGGGAUGACGGCCUUCGGGUUGUAAACCGCUUUCGCCUGUGACGAAGCGUGAGUGACGGUAAUGGGUAAAGAAGCACCGGCUAACUACGUG
rnacentral:rRNA from 1 species